rnacentral:rRNA from 1 species
AACGAACGCUGGCGGCGUGGAUAAGACAUGCAAGUCGAACGGAACUACUUUUAGUAGCAAUACCGAGAGUAGUUUAGUGGCGAACGGGUGCGUAACACGUGGGCAAUCUGCCGAGAAGUGGGGGAGUAGCUCGCCGAAAGGACGAAUUAAUACCGCAUGUGAUGAGAGGCGACAUCGUCUUGAAAUCAAAGCCGGGGCAACCUGGCGCUUUUUGAGGAGCCCGCGGCCUANCAGCUUGUUGGUGAGGUAACGGC